GUGACCACACCAAGGAGCGUAGAAAUCGACCAAAAUAUAAUCAAAACUGGAAAUUGCAGCAUCAAAGUUAGAUUCAUCAAGUUCCAAUACUUUACCGCUGUCUAUGCCCAACUGUUGCUUCUGCUGUUCCGACUCCGCCGCCGUGAUGAACGGCCGUGAAACCAAAACUAAGAGGAGGAUGACAAAAGACAUAUUUUUCAUCAUUGUAUAGUUGAAUAAAAAUGAGUGAUGGAUCUAUUCUACACACUUU
rnacentral:misc_RNA from 1 species